rnacentral:rRNA from 1 species
AACGAACGCUGGCGGCAGGCUUAACACAUGCAAGUCGAGCGCGCAGCAAUACGAGCGGCAGACGGGUGAGUAACGCGUGGGAAUCUACCGUACCCUACGGAAUAGCUCUGGGAAACUGGAGGUAAUACCGUAUACGCCCUAACGGGGAAGGAUUUAUCGGGGUAUGAUGAGCCCGCGUUGGAUUAGCUAGUUGGUGGGGUAAAGGCCUACCAAGGCGACGAUCCAUAGCUGGUCUGAGAGGAUGAUCAGCCACAUUGGGACUGAGACACGGACCAGUCUGCUACGGGUGGCAGCAGUGGGGAAUAUUUGACAAUGGGCGCAAGCCUGAUCCAGCCAUGCCGCGUGAGUGAUGAAGGUAUUAGGAUUGUAAAGCUCUUUCACCGAUGAAGUUAAUGGCGGUAGUCGGAGAACAAGCGCCGGCUAAGUGCCUGCAUGCCGCCGCCGUAACAC